rnacentral:tRNA from 1 species
GAGGGUGUAACUCAGUGGUAGAGUGCAUGCCCAGCAUGGACAAGGUCCUGGGUUCAAUCCCCAGCACCUCUA